rnacentral:lncRNA from 1 species
GUUCCUCCAUGACUGUUUCUUUAAGAGCACCAACAAUUACAAGUUAAUUAAAACUAGUGUCAAGAAAUAAGAAAAACUAAGGGCUUGAAGCCAUAGUUGAGUAAAUAGAUGUAAACACUUUAAGAGGUAUUUAAUCAAACACUUAGAAUGCAAUAAGAAACACACUAGAAAGCAAUACCCAAAGCACCAAAAUCAAUCCUAACAACACACAGUUUAGCAAAGAUCACUAUGCAUCUUCGAAAUGCAGUACCCAUAAAGCAAAAAAAAAAAAAAAAAGAAAUUAAACUGAUACAUUUAUAAGAAAUGAAGAAAUAGAAACAAAGACACUUAUUUUAGAUUCGGAAGCGGAAAGAAAGUAAAAUUUUUUUAAUACAUAUUCUGAAGGAAGAACUAUAUUUGGCACAUUAAAUUUGUGAAUUCUUGCAGUAGGCAGUGGAGAAACAUCUUGGAACUCCUUCACCAUGGAUGAUAAAUGUAAACAAGAAAUCUAUUUGUCAAAAUUGACAAUAGAUAACCAUUACUUUGAAGAUAUGGAAGUGGAAACGUACAAAUAGGUGAUAAUUUCUAAAUUUGGAUAAGAAUAUUUGAAUUUGAAGAGAAUUAAAAGAGAAGAAGAGUAGAGAAGUCGCCCCAAAAAAAAAAAAAAAAAAAAAAAGAAAAGGAAGAAGAAGAAGACGACUAGAAGGAAAUAGAAAGAAAAAGAUAUAGCGUGAAGCCACGCGCUUUUAAUUGCUGGGAAUGACCACGCAAGGUCAUA